rnacentral:rRNA from 1 species
GGAGUGAGACUGUGGGAGCUAAGUUCCAUGGUCGAGAGGGAAACAACCCAGAUCGCCAGCUAAGGCCCCUAAUUCCAGGCUUAGUGUGAAACGAUGUGCGAUUGCCCAGACAGCCAGGAGGUUGGCUUAGAAGCAGCCAUCCUUGAAAGAGUGCGUAAUAGCUCACUGGUCGAGUGAUCGCGCGCGGAUAAUUUACCGGGGCUCAAGCCUGGAGCCGAAGCUGCGGAUCGGUCAGUAUCUUUGAUACUGGCUGGUGGUAGGGGAGCGUUGUCAGCGCAGCGAAGUCAACUCGUAAGGGUUGGUGGAGUGCUGAGAAGUGAGAAUGCCGGCAUGAGUAGCGUAAGGGAGGUGAGUAAGCGUCCCCACCGUAUGGCCGAGGUUUCCGGCGCAAGGUUCAUCCUCGGCGGGUUAGUCGGGCCUAAGCCGAGGCCGAAGGGCGUAGGCGAUGGACAAACGGUUGAUAUUCCGUUACCGCUCGCGGACGAUUCAGUCCCAGGUGUGUGCGGGGUGUGCUAAGCCGAGCGCAGUGUUGGAGAUACUGCGUCUAACUGUGCAGGCGGCCCAGGUACAACUGGGUUGCCGAGGCAGGGGAAAGCCCGUCAAGGGCAAUUCGGCCCACGCUCGCCUCCAAGAAAAGCACGGCUGGGGAUGCCGCGAGCGCCCGUACCGCAAACCGACACUGGUGGCCGGGCAUAAAUGUGCCAAGGUGGACGAGUGAUCCCUCGUUAAGGAACUAGGCAAGUUAACCCCGUAACUUCGGGAGAAGGGGUGCCGCAUGCUCGUGUAAGCCCUCGCGGCUGAAGCGAGAAGCGGCCGCAGCGAAUCGGCUCAAGCGACUGUUUACCAAAAACACAGCUCCCUGCUAACGCGGAAGCGGACGUAUAGGGGGUGACGCCUGCCCGAUGCCGGAAGGUCAAGGGGAGGGGUGAUGAGCCCCGAACCGAAGCCCCGGUCAAUGGCGGCCGUAACUAUAACGGUG